GCCAGUGUGGUGUAGUGGUUUAUACAUUUGACUAUGACUCUGGAGAACAGGGUUUGAAUCCCUACUUGGCCA